AGCUAACGUUGGCGGCGUGCCUAACACAUGCAAGUCGAACGCGCCGUAGCAAUACGGUGAGUGGCAGACGGGUGAGUAACACGUGGGUAAUCUCCCUCCGAGCGGGGAAUAAGCACUCGAAAGGGUGUCUAAUACCGCAUGACGUCCUGAGGCGAUAGCCGAUGGAUUAAAGCCGUAAGGCGCUUGGAGAUGAGCCUGCGUCCUAUUAGCUAGUUGGCGGGGUAACGGCCCACCAAGGCGAUGAUCGGUAGCUGGUCUGAGAGGAUGAUCAGCCACACUGGGACUGCGACACGGCCCAGACACCUACGGGUGGCAG
rnacentral:rRNA from 1 species